CCUACGGGUGGCAGCAGUGAGGAAUAUUGGUCAAUGGACGAGAGUCUGAACCAGCCAAGUAGCGUGAAGGAUGACUGCCCUAUGGGUUGUAAACUUCUUUUAUAUGGGAAUAAAAUGUUCCACGUGUGGGAUUUUGUAUGUACCAUAUGAAUAAGGAUCGGCUAACUCCGUGCCAGCAGCCGCGGGAAUACGGAGGAUCCGAGCGUUAUCCGGAUUUAUUGGGUUUAAAGGGAGCGUAGGUGGAUUGUUAAGUCAGUUGUGAAAGUUUGCGGCUCAACCGUAAAAUUGCAGUUGAAACUGGCAGUCUUGAGUACAGUAGAGGUGGGCGGAAUGCGUGGUGUAGCGGUGAAAUGCUUAGAUAUCACGAAGAACUCCGAUUGCGAAGGCAGUUCACUGGACUGCAACUGACACUGAGGCUCGAAAGUGUGGGUAUCAAACAGGAUUAGAUACCCUUGUAGUC
rnacentral:rRNA from 1 species